UUUGAAGAGAAAGAGGCAAGUCUUGGAGAAGAGGAAUGAGCUUGAAGAUUUUCAUUCAUGGUGCCAAUUCGGAAGAGCAAUCGGAGACCCAACAAGUUGCUUCAAAUUGAAUAAGGUGUUCGAGUAUGAAGAUUUAGUUGCCGUUAAUCGAGUCGGUUGUCGCUCUGAUACGUAGCACUCGGGGGAACGAUUUAUAAUGUUUAUGAUGUUGUUGUUUAUUGUGACUAUCCUAGUUUAUUAGAAUGAUAUGUUAAGUGAAGUUGCUUUAUUAAUAUGAUGUUGUUUAUGUGAUUAAGAUGUUACUUGAGUCGGAAAUUGAGAAUCAUGACUCCGCUGUUUUAUUAAUAAAAGAAGUUAUUCUAUUUUAGAAA